AAGAUCAAAGUCAGUACAUCUUCAUAUCUAAAACACAAGUUUCAAUCUUAGAAAUCUUAGCAUCAAUAAAUAUCAUAAGAUCUAUUUUAUACAACUACAACCAUAAGAAAAUGAUACAAACUUACUUGAAUAGCACAACAAAGUGUGAGUGGGUCCAUAACUUAUUGAAAAAAUAUAACAAGUAAGAUACAAGUAAGUAGAAAUUAGGAAGGUUACACACAAGAGAAGUGUGGAAUGAGAUACCUUCUACUUCCAACACUUUUUAUUUAUAAGUAGUGGUUGCUAAUCAACAAGAAAACUUCCAUCCUUUUGAUAUUACAUCCAUUUCUACUUCAUCAAAUUAAACCUUAUGUUCUUUCUUAACGUAGCUACUACCUAAAUCCUAGCCACCUCUUUAGUUACUUUUAUUCUUUUUUUGCUACCUUUUGACCAUUAUUAACUUAUUUUAGGUAAUACUUACUUAU
rnacentral:lncRNA from 1 species